UGUGCAGGCGGUUGUUUAAGUUUGGUGUGAAAUCUCCCGGCUCAACUGGGAGGGUGCGCCGAAUACUGAAUGACUAGAGUGCGGGAGAGGAGAGUGGAAUUCCUGGUGUAGCGGUGAAAUGCGUAGAUAUCAGGAGGAACACCGGCGGUGUAGGCGGCUCUCUGGACCGUAACUGACGCUGAGACACGAAAGCGUGGGGAGCAAACAGGAUUAGAUACCCUGGUAGUCCACGCCCUAAACGAUGCACAUUUGGUGUGGGUCAUUCAGUUGAUCCGUGCCGGAGCUAACGCGUUAAAUGUGCCGCCUGGGGAGUACAGUCGCAAGGCUGAA
rnacentral:rRNA from 1 species